GCACAAAGCUUAGUUGGUUAGAGUGUGGUGCUGAUAACGCCAAGGUUGCAGGUUCUAGCCCGGUAAGGGACAGCUGCA